AGUGAACGCUGGCGGUAGGCCUAACACAUGCAAGUCGAACGGCAGCACAGUAAGAGCUUGCUCUUACGGGUGGCGAGUGGCGGACGGGUGAGGAAUACAUCGGAAUCUACUUUUUCGUGGGGGAUAACGUAGGGAAACUUACGCUAAUACCGCAUACGACCUACGGGUGAAAGCAGGGGUUCUUCGGGCCUUUCGCGAUUGAAUGAGCCGAUGUCGGAUUAGCUAGUUGGCGGGGUAAAGGCCCACCAAGGCAACGAUCCGUAGCUGACCUGAGAGGAUGAUCAGCCACACUGGAACUGAGACACGGUCCAGACUCCUACGGGAGGCAGCAGUGGGGAAUAUUGGACAAUGGGCGAAAGCCUGAUCCAGCAAUACCGCGUGGGUGAAGAAGGUCUUCGGGUUGUAAAGCCCUUUUGUUGGGAAAGAAAAGCAGUAGGUUAAUACCCCGCUGUUCUGACGGUACCUAAAGAAUAAGCACCGGCUAACUUCGUG
rnacentral:rRNA from 1 species